rnacentral:rRNA from 1 species
AGUCACUGACAUUAGAUACCCGCGUAGUCCAGGGUGUAAACGCUGCAGACUUGGUGUUGGAAGUCCUUUGGGGGCAUUCAGUGCCGGAGAGAAGUUGUUAAGUCUGCUACUUGGGAGUACGUCCGCAAGGAUGAAACUUAAAGGAAUUGGCGGGGGAGCACCGCAACGGGAGGAGCGUGCGGUUUAAUUGGAUUCAACACCGUAAAACUCACCAGGGAAGACUGUUACAUGAAGGCCGAGAUGAAGACUCUACUAGAUUUUCAG